GGAGUUGUGGCUCAGCGGUAGAGCGCUUGCUUCGCAUUUGCAAGAACCUGGGUUCAAUCCUCAGCACCA
rnacentral:tRNA from 1 species